GUGGCCAGCAGCCGCGGUAACACCGGCAGCCCAAGUGAUGGCCGAUAUUAUUGGGCCUAAAGCGUCCGUAGCUGGCCUCGCAAGUUCGUCGGGAAAUCCACUCGCUUAACGAGUGGGCGUCCGGCGAAAACUGUGCGGCUUGGGACCGGAAGAUCCAAGGGGUACGUCCGGGGUAGGAGUGAAAUCCCGUAAUCCUGGACGGACCACCGAUGGCGAAAGCACCUUGGAAGGACGGAUCCGACAGUGAGGGACGAAAGCUAGGGUCUCGAACCGGAUUAGAUACCCUGGUAGUAC
rnacentral:rRNA from 1 species